rnacentral:piRNA from 1 species
UACCAUGUCCUUAAGUAAAAACCAGUGUA